rnacentral:rRNA from 1 species
UUAAGCGACUAAGCGUACACGGUGGAUGCCCUGGCAGUCAGAGGCGAUGAAGGACGUGCUAAUCUGCGAAAAGCGUCGGUAAGGUGAUAUGAACCGUUAUAACCGGCGAUGUCCGAAUGGGGAAACCCAGUGUGAUUCGUCACACUAUCGUUAACUGAAUACAUAGGUUAACGAGGCGAACCGGGGGAACUGAAACAUCUAAGUACCCCGAGGAAAAGAAAUCAACCGAGAUUCCCCCAGUAGCGGCGAGCGAACGGGGAGCAGCCCAGAGUCUGAAUCAGCUUGUGUGUUAGUGGAACGGUCUGGAAAGUCCGACGGUACAGGGUGAUAGUCCCGUACACCAAAAUGCACAGGCUGUGAACUCGAAGAGUAGGGCGGGACACGUGGUAUCCUGUCUGAAUAUGGGGGGACCAUCCUCCAAGGCUAAAUACUCCUGACUGACCGAUAGUGAACCAGUACCGUGAGGGAAAGGCGAAAAGAACCCCGGCGAGGGGAGUGAAAAAGAACCUGAAACCGUGUACGUACAAGCAGUGGGAGCACCUUCGGGUGUGACUGCGUACCUUUUGUAUAAUGGGUCAGCGACUUAUAUUCUGUAGCAAGGUUAACCGUAUAGGGGAGCCGCAGGGAAACCGAGUCUUAACUGGGCGUUAAGUUGCAGGGUAUAGACCCGAAACCCGGUGAUCUAGCCAUGGGCAGGUUGAAGGUUGGGUAACACUAACUGGAGGACCGAACCGACUAAUGUUGAAAAAUUAGCGGAUGACUUGUGGCUGGGGGUGAAAGGCCAAUCAAACCGGGAGAUAGCUGGUUCUCCCCGAAAGCUAUUUAGGUAGCGCCUCGUGAACUCAUCUUCGGGGGUAGAGCACUGUUUCGGCUAGGGGGUCAUCCCGACUUACCAACCCGAUGCAAACUACGAAUACCGAAGAAUGUUAUCACGGGAGACACACGGCGGGUGCUAACGUCCGUCGUGAAGAGGGAAACAACCCAGACCGCCAGCUAAGGUCCCAAAGUCAUGGUUAAGUGGGAAACGAUGUGGGAAGGCACAGACAGCCAGGAUGUUGGCUUAGAAGCAGCCAUCAUUUAAAGAAAGCGUAAUAGCUCACUGGUCGAGUCGGCCUGCGCGGAAGAUGUAACGGGGCUAAACCAUGCACCGAAGCUGCGGCAGCGACGCUUAUGCGUUGUUGGGUAGGGGAGCGUUCUGUAAGCCUGCGAAGGUGACCUGUGAGGGUUGCUGGAGGUAUCAGAAGUGCGAAUGCUGACAUAAGUAACGAUAAAGCGGGUGAAAAGCCCGCUCGCCGGAAGACCAAGGGUUCCUGUCCAACGUUAAUCGGGGCAGGGUGAGUCGACCCCUAAGGCGAGGCCGAAAGGCGUAGUCGAUGGGAAACAGGUUAAUAUUCCUGUACUUGGUGUUACUGCGAAGGGGGGACGGAGAAGGCUAUGUUAGCCGGGCGACGGUUGUCCCGGUUUAAGCAUGUAGGCUGNUUAUCCAGGCAAAUCCGGAUAAUCAAGGCUGAGGUGUGAUGACGAGGCACUACGGUGCUGAAGUAACAAAUGCCCUGCUUCCAGGAAAAGCCUCUAAGCAUCAGGUAACAUCAAAUCGUACCCCAAACCGACACAGGUGGUCAGGUAGAGAAUACCAAGGCGCUUGAGAGAACUCGGGUGAAGGAACUAGGCAAAAUGGUGCCGUAACUUCGGGAGAAGGCACGCUGGUGUGUAGGUGAAGCCCCUGCGGGUGGAGCUGAGACCAGUCGAAGAUACCAGCUGGCUGCAACUGUUUAUUAAAAACACAGCACUGUGCAAACACGAAAGUGGACGUAUACGGUGUGACGCCUGCCCGGUGCCGGAAGGUUAAUUGAUGGGGUUAUCCGUAAGGAGAAGCUCUUGAUCGAAGCCCCGGUAAACGGCGGCCGUAACUAUAACGGUCCUAAGGUAGCGAAAUUCCUUGUCGGGUAAGUUCCGACCUGCACGAAUGGCGUAAUGAUGGCCAGGCUGUCUCCACCCGAGACUCAGUGAAAUUGAACUCGCUGUGAAGAUGCAGUGUACCCGCGGCAAGACGGAAAGACCCCGUGAACCUUUACUAUAGCUUGACACUGAACAUUGAGCCUUGAUGUGUAGGAUAGGUGGGAGGCUUUGAAGCGUGGACGCCAGUCUGCGUGGAGCCAACCUUGAAAUACCACCCUUUAAUGUUUGAUGUUCUAACGUUGGCCCCUGACCGGGGUUGCGGACAGUGUCUGGUGGGUAGUUUGACUGGGGCGGUCUCCUCCCAAAGCGUAACGGAGGAGCACGAAGGUUAGCUAAUCCUGGUCGGACAUCAGGAGGUUAGUGCAAUGGCAUAAGCUAGCUUGACUGCGAGCGUGACGGCGCGAGCAGGUGCGAAAGCAGGUCAUAGUGAUCCGGUGGUUCUGAAUGGAAGGGCCAUCGCUCAACGGAUAAAAGGUACUCCGGGGAUAACAGGCUGAUACCGCCCAAGAGUUCAUAUCGACGGCGGUGUUUGGCACCUCGAUGUCGGCUCAUCACAUCCUGGGGCUGAAGUAGGUCCCAAGGGUAUGGCUGUUCGCCAUUUAAAGUGGUACGCGAGCUGGGUUUAGAACGUCGUGAGACAGUUCGGUCCCUAUCUGCCGUGGGCGCUGGAGAAUUGAGGGGGGCUGCUCCUAGUACGAGAGGACCGGAGUGGACGCAUCACUGGUGUUCGGGUUGUCAUGCCAAUGGCACUGCCCGGUAGCUAAAUGCGGAAGAGAUAAGUGCUGAAAGCAUCUAAGCACGAAACUUGCCCCGAGAUGAGUUCUCCCUGAGACUUUAAGUCUCCUGAAGGAACGUUGAAGACGACGACGUUGAUAGGCCGGGUGUGUAAGCGCAGCGAUGCGUUGAGCUAACCGGUACUAAUGAACCGUGAGGCUUAACCUU